UACGGGGGGGGCAAGCGUUGUUCGGAAUUACUGGGCGUAAAGGGCGCGUAGGCGGCCUUCUAAGUCGGACGUGAAAUCCCUCGGCUUAACCGAGGAACUGCGUCCGAUACUGAAAGGCUUGAAUCCGGGAGAGGGAUGUGGAAUUCCAGGUGUAGCGGUGAAAUGCGUAGAUAUCUGGAGGAACACCGGUGGCGAAGGCGGCAUCCUGGACCAAUUCUGACACUGAGGAGCGAAAGCCAGGGGAGCAAACGGG
rnacentral:rRNA from 1 species